GAUGAAGAUGUUAUUUUUGUUGUUGGCAUUUCCCUUCUUUUUCAAAGUUUGUACCGGCCUUCUUCUUUCUGGAGAAGUCGGAGGGACGGUGUUGUUUCAAUGCAACUCAAUAAAGAUGGAUAUAAAGUCUAUGUCCUUUCAAGGAGGCACAGAUUUUAAAAAGGUUAUAAUUGGAUAUCAUGCUCCGACGAACAAGACCGAAGUCCUUCGACCUGACACCUUCUUGGACAAUGUGGAUAAAACGGUAACCUUUGGAAAUCUAACCGUCUCAGAUGAAGGGACAUAUAAAUGCAUCGUAAACCAUGGCGUCGGUAGAGGAAAAACUGAAGACACCAAAACAACGCUCAGCAUAACUGGUAGGCCCUCCAGGCACUGAUUCCCACUCCCAACAAGAACAUUGGAAUAAUAUAUAAUACCUAUUACAUUCCACCACCCCAAUCAGUUUGUUCUGAAGUGCACAAAUGUGGACGGAUAAACUCUUUAUCCAAAGCAUGUAACUUCCUCCAAGUUAUUUUCAGACUUUCAGAGGAAUUUUAGAUUGGACCUCUGGAACACACGUCGGGAUGCCAAUUUAUUUUCACUUUAGUUGAUCCCCUGAAUGAUUCGAACCAUGACUUCCCUUUUGCUUCACAUAAAAAGGGAAGUGUGAAGAUUCGCCCGGCGUGUUUGCUUUGUCAUCUCCCGUUUUCUUCGUUAAUGAACUUCUCGUUUUCCCUCUUUAGCAACCCCCGAUACAGUGACACUAGAGCGUCGCAUUCCUGGGAGCUCUGGUGACGUCUCCAAUGCCUCGCUGACGUGUACUGCCGUCGCGGUCUAUCCAGUCAGCAAAAUAUCAUGGAAUGUUUCUGGUGUCCUUGAGCAUCAAUGGGAGAACAUAGUCACGCAGGAUAAGAAUUCUCUGCUGUUCAACAUCUCGAGCACUGCGUUCUUCAACUGUUCAGACAAAUCAACGCGACUCAUCACGUGCUCUUUGGGGGGCGUUUCCUCUGACGAGAAGAUUGUCUGCCAGCAGCCCAAAGGUCACUCUUUACUAUACUGCCUUCUAAUUUUAAUCGCACCAGUCCUGGGGUUUGGGCUGAUUUGCUUGCCGGGGGGAAAUGCAAAAGAAAUCCACGUAAGUGCACACAAGAUCAUUGAGCAAACAAACUAAAAUAAAUAAACGCCAGUAUACUAAAAGUUGCUGACAUUUUCCUUCUGUCUAUGCAGGAUGGUAAGCUAGAUUGUUACGAAUUUCAUACUCACUCUUAAAAUGCAAUCCCUACAGCUUUUGAAUUUACCAGUAGGCCUAUUAGAUAAUAUCGUUUUUCCUGUAUAAUAAAAAUACUAUAGACACAAUAGACCUGGAACGUGUGUAAAAUAACAACGCAGUGAGUAAUAAAUAGAGCAGUACGGAUCAUGAAUUUGUGCGACCCUUUACACUUGGGUGCGCAGAAUGAAUGUUAUGCAGUUCUGCCAGGGAGUGAACACCUGCCUUAUUCGGGGCUUAACUGAACUUGCCUGUUUUAAAGCAUGACCACGGAUGCCGGAACUGCAGAAUGCAGGUUGCGGAGCUACAGGUCUUCAGACCUGGAGAACCGGUGCGACUCUAUCAGAUAGCAGAGUGCAGCAAUGAGUGCCAUGGGGACCACGGCCGAGAAGGAGACUGAUAUAUUGUGGUGACCUUCGGCGUCGUCGCCGAGUUCAGGGUACCGCAAGGGAUCCUGGGGGGGGUAGGACCAUCGCAAGUUGGACCUCUGGCGCCCUCCUAGGUCCUUUGCGGCAGAGACAUUGUGUGGGGUUAUUGUUCCCGACACCGUCACCUAGACGUUUAUGUCUAUUAGUUAUAUUGAGUGUGUGUGGCGUGUGCGUGAUCAUUCAAGGCAACUCUGAAGAACAGGUGCAUUACGGUAUCAUUUUAUAUUAUUGUUAAUAGUCUAACAUUUCAGUAGCGUUUUUUUUUCAUUUGCUUUUUUAGCUAUGUAUGACAGUUAACAAUGUUGGUGUAUUGCUAUUAAAUUAAUUAUGUGUGUAGGCCACUCCAACUCCGUUGCUGGUUGAUAUUUAACCAUUUAUUUGUACAUAAAUUAUUGAUUGCAUUUUUCGUAAAGUUAGUUUGAAGGAAUCUUUUUCUUAAGCAAUAACAUUGAACUGUAUUUUGGUGUUAUAUUGUAUUAUUAUAUUGUUAUAUUAUAUAGUUUGUGUUAUAUGGAGCAAUCUUUCAUAUUUAUAAAGUUCAAAGAUCAAUAAAGUUAUAUCUAUUUUUAUUUGAA